GAUGAACGCUGGCGGCGUGCCUAAUACAUGCAAGUCGAGCGAACGGACGAGAAGCUUGCUUCUCUGAUGUUAGCGGCGGACGGGUGAGUAACACGUGGAUAACCUACCUAUAAGACUGGGAUAACUUCGGGAAACCGGAGCUAAUACCGGAUGAUAUUUUGAACCGCAUGGUUCAAAAGUGAAAGACGGUCUUGCUGUCACUUAUAGAUGGAUCCGCGCUGCAUUAGCUAGUUGGUAAGGUAACGGCUUACCAAGGCAACGAUGCAUAGCCGACCUGAGAGGGUGAUCGGCCCCACUGGAACUGAGACACGGUCCAGACUCCUACGGGAGGCAGCGUAGGGAAUCUUCCGCAAUGGGCGAAAGCCUGACGGAGCAACGCCGCGUGAGUGAUGAAGGUCUUCGGAUCGUAAAACUCUGUUAUUAGGGAAGAACAUAUGUGUAAGUAACUGUGCACAUCUUGACGGUACCUAAUCAGAAAGCCACGGCUAACUACGUG
rnacentral:rRNA from 1 species